UACGUAGGGGGCAAGCGUUGUCCGGAUUUAUUGGGCGUAAAGAGCGUGUAGGCGGCUGGAUAGGUCCGUUGUGAAAACUCGAGGCUCAACCUCGAGACGCCGAUGGAAACCAUCUAGCUAGAGUCCGGAAGAGGAGAGUGGAAUUCCCGGUGUAGCGGUGAAAUGCGCAGAUAUCGGGAAGAACACCCGUGGCCUAAGGCGGCUAGCUCGUCAGUACGGUACUGGACGGCUGAGACGCGAAAGCG
rnacentral:rRNA from 1 species